AGUGCUGUGUGGGGUUAAAUCCAGUUACUUUGAUGUGGUAAAGUUUGAAAAAUUUUUUUCUAGUGCUU
rnacentral:tRNA from 1 species